rnacentral:rRNA from 1 species
AACGCGUAUGCAACCUACCUCUUACUGAAGAAUAGCCCGGAGAAAUCCGGAUUAAUGCUUCAUAGUAUUUAUUAUCUGCAUGGAUUUAUAAAUUAAAGGUUACGGUAAGAGAUGGGCAUGCGUCCCAUUAGCUAGAUGGUAAGGUAACGGCUUACCAUGGCAACGAUGGGUAGGGGGCCUGAGAGGGUGAUCCCCCACACUGGUACUGAGACACGGACCAGACUCCUACGGGAGGCAGCAGUGAGGAAUAUUGGGCAAUGGAGGCAACUCUGACCCAGCCAUGCCGCGUGCAGGAAGAAUGCCCUAUGGGUUGUAAACUGCUUUUAUUUGGGAAUAAACCUAUCUACGUGUAGAUAGCUGAAUGUACCAAACGAAUAAGCACCGGCUAACUCCGUGCCAGCAGCCGCGGUAAUACGGAGGGUGCAAGCGUUAUCCGGAAUCAUUGGGUUUAAAGGGUCCGCAGGCGGACUUUCAAGUCAGUGGUGAAAUCCCAUAGCUUAACUAUGGAACUGCCAUUGAAACUGUUAGUCUUGAAUUCGAUCGGAGUGGGCGGAAUGUGUCAUGUAGCGGUAAAAUGCAUUGAUAUGACACAGAACACCGAUA